GGCGAUACCCGAAUGGGGAAACCCAGUGUGAUUCGUCACACUAUCAUUAACUGAAUCCAUAGGUUAAUGAGGCGAACCGGGGGAACUGAAACAUCUAAGUACCCCGAGGAAAAGAAAUCAACCGAGAUUCCCCCAGUAGCGGCGAGCGAACGGGGAGGAGCCCAGAGCCUGAAUCAGCAUGUGUGUUAGUGGAAGCGUCUGGAAAGGCGCGCGAUACAGGGUGACAGCCCCGUACACAAAAGCGCAUGUGCUGUGAGCUCGAUGAGUAGGGCGGGACACGUGGUAUCCUGUCUGAAUAUGGGGGGACCAUCCUCCAAGGCUAAAUACUCCUGACUGACCGAUAGUGAACCAGUACCGUGAGGGAAAGGCGAAAAGAACCCCGGCGAGGGGAGUGAAAAAGAACCUGAAACCGUGUACGUACAAGCAGUGGGAGC
rnacentral:rRNA from 1 species